AGUGGGGCGCGGCCGCUGCAGCGCCGAGAGCGGGAGGUGACGGAGCGGGAGCAGCGCGGCACCGGCGGAUACAGGCAUCAUGCGUGAGAUCGUGCACAUCCAGGCCGGGCAGUGCGGCAACCAGAUCGGUGCCAAGUUCUGGGAGGUUAUUAGCGAUGAGCACGGCAUCGAUCCCACCGGCAGCUACCACGGGGACAGCGACCUGCAGCUCGAGAGGAUUAAUGUGUACUACAAUGAGGCCACAGGUAACAAAUAUGUCCCCCGUGCCAUCCUGGUUGACCUGGAGCCUGGCACAAUGGACUCAGUGCGCUCUGGCCCCUUUGGACAGAUCUUCCGACCUGACAACUUUGUCUUUGGUCAGAGCGGGGCCGGCAAUAACUGGGCCAAGGGGCACUACACCGAAGGCGCUGAGCUGGUGGACUCUGUGCUGGACGUGGUGAGGAAGGAGUCAGAAAGCUGCGACUGCCUGCAGGGCUUCCAGUUGACCCACUCUCUGGGUGGCGGCACCGGCUCGGGGAUGGGCACCCUCCUCAUCAGCAAGAUCCGGGAGGAGUACCCCGACCGCAUCAUGAACACGUUCAGCGUCAUGCCUUCUCCCAAGGUGUCGGACACGGUGGUGGAGCCCUACAAUGCCACCCUUUCUGUGCACCAGCUGGUGGAGAACACGGAUGAGACCUACUGCAUCGACAACGAGGCCCUGUACGACAUCUGUUUCCGCACCCUGAAGCUCACCACUCCCACGUACGGGGACCUCAACCACCUGGUGUCGGCCACCAUGAGCGGUGUGACCACCUGCCUUCGCUUCCCCGGCCAGCUGAACGCCGACCUGCGCAAGCUGGCGGUCAACAUGGUGCCUUUCCCGCGGCUGCACUUCUUCAUGCCGGGCUUCGCCCCGCUGACCAGCCGCGGCAGCCAGCAGUACCGAGCCCUGACGGUGCCCGAGCUGACGCAGCAGAUGUUCGACUCCAAGAACAUGAUGGCUGCCUGCGACCCCCGCCACGGCCGCUACCUGACGGUCGGCUGCCAUCUUCCGUGGACCGCAUGUGCCAUUGAAGAGUGGAACGAAGCAGAUGCCUCAACGUGCAGAACAAGAACAGCAGCUUACUUUGUGGAGUGGAUCCCCAAACAACUGAAGCGGCCGAUGUGUGACAUCCCCCCACUUGGGCUCAAGAUGUCCGCCACCUUCAUAGGGAACAGCACGGCCAUCCAGGAGCUGUUCAAGAGGAUCUCGGAGCAGUUCACGGCCAUGUUCCGGCGCAAGGCAUUCUUGCACUGGUACACCGGCGAGGGCAUGGAUGAGAUGGAGUUCACGGAGGCGGAGAGCAACAUGAAUGACCUGGUCUCAGAGUACCAGCAAUACCAGGAUGCCACUGCUGAUGAGCAGGGUGAAUUUGAAGAGGAAGGAGAGGAGGAUGAGGCAUGAAGUGGAAAUGGGUAGGAGUCAAGUGUAGUCUGAGCAGGCAAGUGUUCAUUGGGAGGAGAAAUCUGUGCAGUUGUGCUGAAGCAUGCGUUUCUUAAUUUGGUGCUCUCCACUGUUGCUUUUGUCAGCAGUUUUGUAUCCUCGACUGUCCAAUGUAACAGUAGUUGCAAGAAUACUCCACAGUCUUCUGUUGAAAUGGUUAACUUCUCAAACAUAAAGGCUUUUUGUGUUCUAAACUGUGUCCUCUGCCUUAUUUCUCUCUAGCUCUAGAAAAUAACUCUUGUAGUUUUCUGUCUCUUUCACUUCUCAUUCUCAGCCUUUUUCCCUCACUGAAAGGUUUAAGUCAAUAAAACAAGAUUUUCUGGGCCAUUAA